AAAGCGUGCGCAGGCGGUUGUACAAGACAGAUGUGAAAUCCCCGGGCUUAACCUGGGAACUGCAUUUGUGACUGUACGGCUAGAGUGCGGCAGAGGGGGAUGGAAUUCCGCGUGUAGCAGUGAAAUGCGUAGAUAUGCGGAGGAACACCGAUGGCGAAGGCAAUCCCCUGGGCCUGCACUGACGCUCAUGCACGAAAGCGUGGGGAGCAAACAGGAUUAGAUACCCCGGUAGUCCUGGCCCUAAACGGUGCGCACUUGCUGUGAGUAGAUUUAAAACCUACUCGUGGCGUAGUUAACACGUUAAGUGCGCCGCCUGAGGAGUACGGUCGCAAGAUUAAAACUCAAAGAAAUUGACGGGGGCCUGCACAAGCGGUGGAGUAUGUGGCUUAAUUCGAUGCAACGCGAAGAACCUUACCUGGUCUUGAUAUGCAAGUAGUAGAAGCCUGAAGGGGUGACGAGAUAGCAAUAUCAGCUUGCACAGGUGCUGCAUGGCUGUCGUCAGCUCGUGUCGUGAGAUGUCGGGUUAAGUCCCUUAACGAGCGAAACCCUUGUCUCUAGUUGCCAGCGAGUAAUGUCGGGGACUCUAGAGAGACCGCCGGUGUUAAACCGGAGGAAGGUGGGGAUGACGUCAAGUCCUCAUGGCCUUUAUGACUAGGGCUGCACACGUCCUACAAUGCUGCGUACAAAGGGAAGCAAGCUCGCGAGAGUAAGCAAAUCCCAAAAAACGCAGCCCAGUUCGGAUUGCAGGCUGCAACCCGCCUGCAUGAAGCCGGAAUCGCUAGUAA
rnacentral:rRNA from 1 species